rnacentral:pre_miRNA from 1 species
AAUAUACUCCAUCCGUCUCAAAAUUCUUGUCUUAAAUUUGUCUAGAUACAGAUGUAUCUAAUACUAAAAUGUGACUUGAUAUAUCCGUAUCUAGACAAAUCUAAAAUAAGAAUUUUGGGACGGAGGGAGUAGUUC